rnacentral:rRNA from 1 species
GCUGGCGGCAUGCUUAACACAUGCAAGUCGAACGGAGGCCCGGAGCUUGCUCCGGAUCCCUUAGUGGCGAACGGGUGAGUAACGCGUGGGAAUCUACCUAAAAAUGGGGAAUAACUGUUGGAAACGACAGCUAAUACCGCAUAAUCCCUUCGGGGCAAAGGCUUCGGCCGUUUUUAGAUGAGCCCGCGUUAGAUUAGGCUGUUGGUGAGGUAAUGGCUCACCAAACCUGCAAUCUAUAGCUGGUCUGAGAGGAUGAUCAGCCACACUGGGACUGAGACACGGCCCAGACUCCUACGGGAGGCAGCAGUGGGGAAUAUUGGACAAUGGGGGAAACCCUGAUCCAGCAAUGCCGCGUGAGUGAUGAAGGCCCUAGGGUUGUAAAGCUCUUUCAGAAGUGAAGAUGAUGACGGUAACUUCAGAAGAAGCUCCGGCUAACUCCGUGCCAGCAGCCGCGGUAAUACGGAGGGAGCUAGCGUUGUUCGGAAUUACUGGGCGUAAAGGGCGUGUAGGCUGUUUGAUUAGUCAGAGGUGAAAUCCCUAAGCUCAACUUAGGAACUGCCUUUGAUACUAUCAUACUAGAGAUCGAGAGAAGUUAGCGGAAUUCCAAGUGUAGAGGUGAAAUUCGUAGAUAUUUGGAAGAACACCUGUGGCGAAAGCGGCUAACUGGCUCGUUUCUGACGCUGAGACGCGAAAGCGUGGGUAGCAAACAGGAUUAGAUACCCUGGUAGUCCACGCCGUAAACGAUGAGUGCUAGCCGUUUGUGAUUAAUCACAAGUGGUGCAGUUAACACAUUAAGCACUCCGCCUGGGGAGUACGAUC